rnacentral:lncRNA from 1 species
GGGCCUCCGGAGGGCCCCUCUGCAAUGUGCAGAGUGGACACCCUUACCUGACCCUUUUCCAAACUGGUCCUGUGUCCAAAGCUCCCCCUAUGAGAGGGACACGAACAACCGUGAAACUGGACAGCAAAUAAUGACUUGAGGCUGGCUCUGGUCCCCAUGGGUGGACCCUGUUUAGAUUUGGCUGAGCUGCUUCUGGGGGAAGGGAGGGGUUCUGACAACGAGCCACCCUGGCUUUGGGGCCCGGGCCUCACCAAGGGUGUGGACGCGCUGGAUAGGAAGGAGUGGCAGGGGCUUCUCCACCUGGAACGUGGCGCUCCAGAGGAGGCAGGAAGGGCUCUGGAACCCAAGCAGCUUCGCGCCUCUUAUUGCUUGUUUGGUCAGAAGAGCUUGGCUGGGCCCUCAGG